CCUACGGGGGGCAGCAGUGGGGAAUAUUGGACAAUGGGGGGAACCCUGAUCCAGCCAUGCCGCGUGUGUGAAGAAGGCCCUCGGGUUGUAAAGCACUUUCAGUGAGGAAGAACGCCUGGUGGUUAAUACCCAUCAGGAAAGACAUCACUCACAGAAGAAGCACCGGCUAACUCCGUGCCAGCAGCCGCGGUAAUACGGAGGGUGCGAGUGUUAAUCGGAAUUACUGGGCGUAAAGCGCGCGUAGGUGGCUUGAUAAGCCGGUUGUGAAAGCCCCGGGCUCAACCUGGGAACGGCAUCCGGAACUGUCAAGCUAGAGUGCAGGAGAGGAAGGUAGAAUUCCCGGUGUAGCGGUGAAAUGCGUAGAGAUCGGGAGGAAUACCAGUGGCGAAGGCGGCCUUCUGGACUGACACUGACACUGAGGUGCGAAAGCGUGGGUAGCAAACAGGAUUAGAUACCCUAGUAGUC
rnacentral:rRNA from 1 species